UACGUAGGGUGCGAGCGUUUGUCCGGAAUUAUUGGGCGUAAAGGGCUCGUAGGCGGUCUGUUGCGUCGGGAGUGAAAACUCAGGGCUUAACCCUGAGCCUGCUUCCGAUACGGGCAGACUAGAGGUAUGCAGGGGAGAACGGAAUUCCUGGUGUAGCGGUGAAAUGCGCAGAUAUCGAGAGGAACACCUGCGGCGAAGGCGGGUUGCUG
rnacentral:rRNA from 1 species